CCUACGGGUGGCAGCAGUGGGGAAUAUUGGACAAUGGGGGGAACCCUGAUCCAGCCAUGCCGCGUGUGUGAAGAAGGUCCUCGGGUUGUAAAGCACUUUCAGUGAGGAAGAACGCCUGGUGGUUAAUACCCAUCAGGAAAGACAUCACUCACAGAAGAAGCACCGGCUAACUCCGUGCCAGCAGCCGCGGUAAUACGGAGGGUGCGAGCGUUAAUCGGAAUUACUGGGCGUAAAGCGCGCGUAGGUGGCUUGAUAAGCCGGUUGUGAAAGCCCCGGGCUCAACCUGGGAACGGCAUCCGGAACUGUCAAGCUAGAGUGCAGGAGAGGAAGGUAGAAUUCCCGGUGUAGCGGUGAAAUGCGUAGAGAUCGGGAGGAAUACCAGUGGCGAAGGCGGCCUUCUGGACUGACACUGACACUGAGGUGCGAAAGCGUGGGUAGCAAACAGGAUUAGAUACCCGUGUAGUC
rnacentral:rRNA from 1 species